rnacentral:rRNA from 1 species
UACGUAGGGUGCGAGCGUUGUUCGGAAUUAUUGGGCGUAAAGGGCGCGUAGGCGGUGCGGUAAGUCACCUGUGAAAUCUCCUGGCUCAACUGGGAGCUUGCAGGCGAAACUGCCGUGCUGGAGUGUGGGAGAGGUGCGUGGAAUUCCUGGUGUAGCGGUGAAAUGCGCAGAUAUCAGGAGGAACACCGGUGGCGAAGGCGGGUCUCUGGGCAACAACUGACGCUGAGGAGCGAAAGCGUGGGGAGCGAACAGG